UACGUAGGGACCAAGCGUUGUUCGGAUUUACUGGGCGUAAAGGGCGCGUAGGCGGCAAUUCAAGUCAGCUGUGAAAUCUCUGGGCUUAACCCAGAACGGCCAGCUGAUACUGCUUUGCUAGAGUGCAGAAGGGGCAAUCGGAAUUCUUGGUGUAGCGGUGAAAUGCGUAGAUAUGAUGUAGAACACCGAUUGCGAAGGCAGCUCACUAAGCCAACAUUGACGCUGAGGCACGAAAGCGUGGGUAGCGAACAGG
rnacentral:rRNA from 1 species